AUUGACCUCGGAUCAGGUAGGGAUACCCGCUGAACUUAAGC
rnacentral:rRNA from 15 species